rnacentral:rRNA from 1 species
AGCGGCGGAUGGGUGAGUAACACGUGGGGAACCUGCCCCUAAGUCUGGGAUACCAUUUGGAAACAGGUGCUAAUACCGGAUAAUAAAGCAGAUCGCAUGAUCAGCUUUUGAAAGGCGGCGUAAGCUGUCGCUAAGGGAUGGCCCCGCGGUGCACUAGCUAGUUGGUAAGGUAACGGCUUACCAAGGCGACGAUGCAUAGCCGAGUUGAGAGACUGAUCGGCCACAUUGGGACUGAGACACGGCCCAAACUCCUACGGGAGGCAGCAGUAGGGAAUCUUCCACAAUGGACGCAAGUCUGAUGGAGCAACGCCGCGCGAGUGAAGAAGGUUUUCGGAUCGUAAAGCUCUGUUGUUGGUGAAGAAGGAUAGAGGUAGUAACUGGCCUUUAUUUGACGGUAAUCAACCAGAAAGUCACGGCUAACUACGUGCCAGCAGCCGCGGUAAUACGUAGGUGGCAAGCGUUGUCCGGAUUUAUUGGGCGUAAAGCGAGCGCAGGCGGAAAAAUAAGUCUAAUGUGAAAGCCCUCGGCUUAACCGAGGAACUGCAUCGGAAACUGUUUUUCUUGAGUGCAGAAGAGGAGAGUGGAACUCCAUGUGUAGCGGUGGAAUGCGUAGAUAUAUGGAAGAACACCAGUGGCGAAAGGCGGCUCUCUGGUCUGCAACUGACGCUGAGGCUCGAAAGCAUGGGUAGCGAACAGGAUUAGAUACCCUGGUAGUCCAUGCCGUA